rnacentral:lncRNA from 1 species
UCCAGGGUUGCUGAUAACCCACAGGGUGUGCUGUUUGCUCAUUGAGACUUCGAGUAGACUCCAGGGUUGCUGAUAACCUAUAGUUGUUUCAUGUGGUGUGUUGUAUGUGAUAUUUUGGGGAACUCACUAAGCUUUGUGCUUACAUUUGUUGAUUAUAUGUGUUUCUGGUGCUUCUGAGGAUCGUGGGAAAGUGAAGGUCUGAUUGUACACACACGUUGGGAGAUUAUGUUAUUGGACAUUUUGGGACACUCUAAUAUUUAGAUGUGAAAUUGUAUUUGACGUUAUGACUUUUAUUAGGAUGGUUUUAUGAAAACUGAUUUCGAUGGAACUAAAAAUGAAAAAUAAAAAAAGUUGGUUUGAAAAUUUGGAUGUUACAAGUUUGUAUCAUAGCCCUGGUUUGAGGGAUUUGGAUGAACUCUUGGGGAAUUCCAAACUCAAACUAAGGGUCUUGAGACAGGGCAUGUGUAUAGAUGAUGUUGAGGAAUAAAGUCCUUGUGAUUUAGGGUCUUGAGAGGAUGACUUGAGACAAAUACGGGGACUAUUUCACACCUACUACUAACACAUAAUAUCAUAUCAUAAUCAUGUUGUCAGACAUAUCUGGGGUGUCCGACCUACCCAUUGGUCCUAGCGACCGAAUCGGGGACAAGUUCCCCUUCUNCAUAUUUUAUUUUGGGAACAAAUUCCGCAACCGUUUUCUUUAAACGAUCACUCUGAUUUAUAAAACAAAGCAUAAACAAAUCGGAGCAGGCUGAAUAGUUGACAUGCUCUUGAAUAUCAGCCCUCAACAUAUCAUGGUAGCGGGUCUUCCGCAUCUCCUCAUCCCCCGCAUACUGGGGUACCAACAGGGCCCUCUCCCUGAACUUGGCAGUGAUCUCCGCCAGUGUCUCAUUCGUCUGCGUUAUAUCCAAAAACUCCAUGGACAGCUACCGAACCUCCACAGCCGGAGCAAACUCAGCCCUGAAUCUGGUCACGAAAUCUGACCACGUCAUAGCCUCGACAGCUAGGGCUCCCAACGAGUCACCAACCGACUCCUACAAGUCUCUAGCUCUAUCCCUCAGACAUCCCGCAGCAAAGCAGACCUUCGACCCUUCCGGGUAGAAGCUCGUCAACUGCUCAUACUCAAUGUCUGCGAUCAAUCUCCUGGCAGCAAUGGGUUCCUUUACCCCGUAAAAAUCCGGCGCACCACUCCCUCUGAAGUCCUUGAAGGACAAUGUGCGCGUACCCACCUGGACAGAUGCCAAAUCACUCCUGAAUGCUCAGAAGCGAUCAUCCAUCAGCUCGAUUAUCCCCUCCUUUGUCGACCCGAAAAUAAUCGGGGUCGACUCAAGGAUACCUCUCUUGAUCUCAGACGUGAUGAACUCGCGUAGCCCGUCAUCCACCUGCUCGGAUCCUGCCCCAGAGCCUGAUCCUGGUCCUGACCCAGAUCCUGAGCCUCCUGCUCCAUGUCGUGUGACCACCAUACUGAAAUAAACACGUUAACGUCAGGAUCAUAUGUUCUCCUGAGAGGUCUCACACACUCCCCCGGUUUCCUGGUUCCAUCUCAACCCUCCUUGACUCGAGUACGGAUCCUCUGCUUUCAGUAGUACGGGCCCAUACUACCUUCCACAUCUAUCCGUACUUUCCUCAAGGAUUGCCUCAACUUCACCAAGUCCCCUUACCAAGAUCCUUUUCUGACUGAUCUCAUCCUAGGCCUUCAUAGGGCACCCUCCAACCUACUCUCCGCCAUCAGCUGCACUAGGAUUCCCUACCUUCCUUCCCUAACUAGCUUGCGAAUAUUGUUACAUAUCUGCCCACUAUUUAGUUAAAUUUAGUCGAGUCCCCUUUAGCGCAAAACAAGCAGCAUUCGUGCAUUGAGUACCCACAUCAGGCAUAACCUAGUCAUGCUAUCCUACCGCUGGCUAAGCAGCCCUAGCAUACAACUCAUACAACAAGCAUUCCAGGCAUCCUCCUAGAUCCUUAGCCCUAAUCCAGCAUGCAGUUCUCAGAAUCAUAUAUCAUACACAUAACAUAACAAGUAUGGGUAUCUUGGGGAAAACUUACUUGAGCUCGACCGGUCGCACACAUCACACACCUUGUCCUUUCUCAAUUUUUUUAACUUAAAGUUUUAGAAACUGUUUUCUUUGUGGAAAAUCUCUUAGUCCCUCGGUUUGAGUCCAGACACCCCCGAGGGUGUGUCCGAAUCCCUCAAACUAGGACUCUGAUACCAGCUUGUAACAUCCCAAAAUUUGAGGCCAAAAAUUUCGUUUUUAAAUUAAGUGAUUUAUAAACUUGUUUAUCAAAACAUUGCCAAGAUCAUGUCAAUACAUAAACCAUAAUAUCAUGUUUCAAACCAAAUUAUCUUGAAGUAACAAAAUAUCAUAGUACAAUCCCAGAAACUCUAAGAGGAAAUCAUGUGUGUGUGUGAUGCGCUGCUACACUGCCAUCUCCUUCCGGUUAGACAAAGAGGUACCUGAAACCAGAAACUAAAAUUGUAAGCACAAAGCUUAGUGAGCUCCCCCAUCAUACCAGAUACCAUACAAUCACAUAGCAUACAUACUGCUGGACAAUUCUGGGGCGCCCGUCCUACCCAUGUCAAGCCAUUCUGGGGUGCUGACCUACCAAUGUCCAACAAUUUUGGGGUGCUGACCUUCCCAUGUCAAGACAUUCUGGGGUGCUAACCUACCCAUGUCAAGCCAUUUUGGGGUGCUGACCUACCCUCCGGUCUAUCUCAACCGUACACGGGGACUAUUUCACCCCUACUACUAACACAUAAUAUCAUAUCAUAAUCAUGUUGUCAGACAUAUCUGGGGUGUCCGACCUACCCAUUGGUCCUAGCGACCGAAUCGGGNACGGGGACUAUUUCACACCUACUACUAACACAUAAUAUCAUAUCAUAAUCAUGUUGUCAGACAUAUCUGGGGUGUCCGACCUACCCAUUGGUCCUAGCGACCGAAUCGGGGACAAGUUCCCCUUCUACUGAUACUAUCUCACAUAACAUAGCAACUAGCAAACUAACAUACUCACAUAUCUAGCAAUGUAGCAUACUCACAUAUCCAACAAUAACAGACCAGACAAUUAUCACAUAGAUAAUCGUCCCAACUAACAAUUACUAGUGGGCCGACCUCGGUGCCUUAGACCCACUUCUACUGGAAGUUAACACACCUCGAUUUCGUGUAGUGUCUGAACUGUCCUCGGCGUGAAGGUCGGCUCUCCUCAACUCCUCAAUCCCUAUACGACAACCCUCAAGUCAUCAAACAGAAUACACAACCCUAACCCGGGUAAAUGCCAAAACCAGGCAAAGUCAACACCCAUUUGACCUGACUCGCCGAGUUGGUCUACCAACUCAUCGAGUCCAUACUCCAUUAACCCGAUCCAACCCCGACUUCACUCGUCGAGUCUAGCAAGAACUCGACUGGUUCUCUUCCAUUCAAACCAUCAGGACCACCUUCAUCCGACUCGCCGAGUUGUAUGAACAACUCGUCGAGUCCAUCUUCAAAGAUUGGGAGAUUGCCUUGG